GCUAAAGUAUUCUAAAGGAUUAAUAAUGUUUGUCAAUCCACUGAUAUUCUUUGAUGUAAUUCAUGAAUCCCGACAUGUUCUGAUAGC